rnacentral:rRNA from 1 species
GUGAGGAAUAUUGGUCAAUGGGCGAGAGCCUGAACCAGCCAAGUCGCGUGAAGGAAGAAGGAUCUAUGGUUCGUAAACUUCUUUUGCAGGGGAAUAAAGUGCAGGACGUGUCCUGUUUUGUAUGUACCCUGAGAAUAAGGAUCGGCUAACUCCGUGCCAGCAGCCGCGGUAAUACGGAGGAUCCGAGCGUUAUCCGGAUUUAUUGGGUUUAAAGGGUGCGUAGGUGGUUUGAUAAGUCAGCGGUUAAAGUUUGCAGCUUAACUGUAAAAAUGCCGUUGAAACUGUCGGACUUGAGUGUAAAUGAGGUAGGCGGAAUGCGUGGUGUAGCGGUGAAAUGCAUAGAUAUCACGCAGAACUCCGAUUGCGAAGGCAGCUUACUAAGCUACAACUGACACUGAAGCACGAAAGCGUGGGGAUCAAACAGGAUUAGAUACCCCGGUAGUCC